GAUGAAGAACGCAGCAAAAUGCGAUAAGUAAUGUGAAUUGCAGAAUUCAGUGAAUCAUCGAAUCUUUGAACGCACAUUGCGCCCGCUGGUAUUCCGGCGGGCAUGCCUGUUCGAGCGUCAUUUCAACCCUCAAGCCCCCGGGUUUGGUGUUGGGGAUCGGCUCUGCCCUUCUGGGCGGUGCCGCCCCCGAAAUACAUUGGCGGUCUCGCUGCAGCCUCCAUUGCGUAGUAGCUAACACCUCGCAACUGGAACGCGGCGCGGCCAUGCCGUAAAACCCCAACUUCUGAAUGUUGACCUCGGAUCAGGUAGGAAUACCCGCUGAACUUAAGCAUAUUCAAUAAGCGGAGGA
rnacentral:misc_RNA from 1 species